UGAGGAAUAUUGGACAAUGGAGGCAACUCUGAUCCAGCCAUGCCGCGUGAAGGACUAAGGCCCUAUGGGUCGUAAACUUCUUUUGACGCAGAGCAAUAAGGAUUACGUGUAGUCUGAUGAGAGUAUGCGUCGAAUAAGCAUCGGCUAACUCCGUGCCAGCAGCCGCGGUAAUACGGAGGAUGCAAGCGUUAUCCGGAUUUAUUGGGUUUAAAGGGUGCGCAGGCGGCGGAUCAAGUCAGCGGCCAAACUUCGGGGCUCAACCCCGUUUUGCCGUUGAAACUGAUCGGCUGGAGUCUGUUCGAGGGACGCGGAAUGCGAGGUGUAGCGGUGAAAUGCAUAGAUAUCACGCAGAACUCCGAUUGCGAAGGCAGCGUCCCGGGGCGGCACUGACGCUGAGGCACGAAAGUGUGGGUAUCGAACAGGAUUAGAUACCCUGGUAGU
rnacentral:rRNA from 1 species